CUGCUUGUAUUGUUUAAAUUAUUGCUAAAUGCUUUCUUAACUGAUUUGGAGAGAACAGUUCACCUUUUAAGAAAAAAAAAAGUGAAUAUGGCGAGGUAGGUAGGAGACAUUCAGCUGGCAAGAUCAUUGGCCUAUUUUAUUCCAAAAUGAGGUAAGGAGUACUGAGCUAACUUGCAGGUCUUAAAGGAGUAUGUCCUAAGGAGUGAGAACAGACACACCAGCAGAAAAUCAUUCGCAAGUAAUGGUAGGAAAGACUCACCCCCUGGGAUGGUUGUUGAUAUUUAUAAAAGUCAGCGAGGAUUAUUGACCUGUCUCACCAAAACAGUCAUUUCUGUUAUUAUGACAUCAGAAUACUACCCCACGUCAGAUAACAGAGCAAAGGGCCUGAAGAAUGAGGGAGGGAGGCAGGCUGGACAGGAGGCAGAAAAGGGAAUGUAGACUAAGCAACUUCCAGACCACUCACUGGGGAUGCCAGCCACCGUAUCAUGAGGUCAAGCAGCAUGAAGGGGUCUAUACGGUGAGGGAGCGCCAGCUGUGUAAGUCACCCUAGAAGUGUGUCCUCCAGGCCCAAGUGUGCCCUUCAGGUGACUACAGCUGUGACACCGUGACUACCACCUCUGAGCCACUGUGGCCAGAACGACCUAGAGAUGCCACUCCUGAAUUCUGGACCCACAGAAAUCACGUGAGAUGUUUAUUAUUGUUUUCAGCCACUGAAUUUAAGAGUACUUCAAUUUACAGCAACAGUUCAUACUGUCUUAAAGGGCAGAAGUUGCCUGCUGGCAUGGCCUUCUCGUGGAGCCUUCCACAGUCCAGGCUCCCCACUAGUGAGAUGCUCCAGUAGCCCCAAGCUGUCUGCCAGGGCACUGCUGGGCAUUAGAAGACACUGCUUUCCCUCCAGGCUGGAGUACCUGAGUAUUACAGGCUGACUUGUUAUUUUUCAACGUAGGAGGUGUCGCGCUGGUCAGUUCAGAAGUCGUGAGACUCAGCACCGCCCCCUCCGUACUCUGGAGGUGCCCUGUCGUCAGAGGCCUCUUCUUCCAUGAUACGUCACAGACACGACAUGGGGAGGAGACUGAUGGAAGCACGGGCUGAAUCCCGGAUCUGUCACCGUCCCACUGACCCACCCCUCUGACCUCGGUUUUCCAUCAUCAAACACCUAAUACAUAACAGCGGCACCUAUGGCAUCCGCUGCUGUGAGGAUUAAGCAAGAUGCUAUGUUUCAAAUGCUGGGAACCGUGCCUCGUACGGUUGGCUGUUGCUAUUGAAUAUUGGCUGUUACUAUUACCCUUCAAGCUACGGAGACACAUAUAUAUAUGUACCAAUACGGGAAAUUAGAUCUGAAGCUAAUUGGCAGGGUUAUUAAAGACAAACAACCGAUGUUUUAAAAUCUGAAUUAGACAGUCUGUAUUCUAACACACACACGCACACACGGACACACACACACACAAUCUGUACCAAUUAAAUACAAUAAAGUUGAAAGGGGAUAUAAAUUACAGUUUUUCUUUUUCUU